rnacentral:antisense_RNA from 1 species
CUUUACGGUGGGCGAUGUGUGGGGAUCCCUGAUCCGCCGGCCAUUUUUGUGUUUGCCCCGGUAUGCCAACCCGCAUCGCCUGCCACCUCG